rnacentral:rRNA from 1 species
GACGAACGCUGGCGGCGUGCUUAACACAUGCAAGUCGAACGGUAAGGCCCUUCGGGGUACACGAGUGGCGAACGGGUGAGUAACACGUGGGUGAUCUGCCCUGCACUUCGGGAUAAGCCUGGGAAACUGGGUCUAAUACCGGAUAGGACUCCGGACUGCAUGGGCUGGGGUGGAAAGCUUUUGCGGUGUGGGAUGGGCCCGCGGCCUAUCAGCUUGUUGGUGGGGUGAUGGCCUACCAAGGCGACGACGGGUAGCGGGCCUGAGAGGGUGACCGGCCACACUGGGACUGAGAUACGGCCCAGACUCCUACGGGAGGCAGCAGUGGGGAAUAUUGCACAAUGGGCGCAAGCCUGAUGCAGCGACGCCGCGUGAGGGAUGACGGCCUUCAGGUUGUAAACCUCUUUCAGCAUCGACGAAGCGAAAGUGACGGUGGGUGCAGAAGAAGGACCGGCCAACUACGUGCCAGCCGCCGCAGUAA